rnacentral:rRNA from 1 species
ACGGAGGAUUCGAGCGUUAUCCGGAUUUAUUGGGUUUAAAGGGUGCGUAGGCGGACCAAUAAGUCAGUGGUGAAAUACAUCAGCUUAACUGAUGCACUGCCAUUGAUACUGUUGGACUAGAAUAUAAAUGGUGCAGGCGGAAUGAAUCAUGUAGAGGUGACAUUCAUAGAUAUGAUUCAGAACACCGAUCGCGAAGGCAGCUUGCAAAGAUAUUAUUGACGCUGAUGCACGAAAGCGUGGGUAGCGAACAG